rnacentral:rRNA from 1 species
AGUCGAACGCGAAAGCCCCCUUCGGGGGGCAAGUAGAGUGGCGCACGGGUGAGUAACACGUAGGUAAUCUACCUUUGGAUUGGGAAUAACCACCGGAAACGGUGGCUAAUACCGAAUAAUGCAGCGGCACCUAAUGGUGACAGUUGUUAAAGCGGGGGAUCGCAAGACCUCGCGUCUGAAGAGGAGCCUGCGGCAGAUUAGCUAGUUGGUAAGGUAACGGCUUACCAAGGCGAUGAUCUGUAGCCGGCCUGAGAGGGCGGUCGGCCACACUGACACUGACAUACAGGUCAGACUCCUACGGGAGGCAGCAGUCGGGAAUUUUGGGCAAUGGGCGAAAGCCUGACCCAGCAACGCCGCGUGAAGGAUGAAAUCCCUCGGGAUGUAAACUUCGCAAGAACGGGAAGAAUAAGUAAGGGUUAAUAUCUCUUACGAUGACGGUACUGUUUGUAAGCUCCGGCUAACUCCGUGCCAGCAGCCGCGGUAAUACGGGGGGAGCAAGCGUUGUUCGGAUUUACUGGGCGUAAAGGGCGCGUAGGCGGCACCGCAAGUCGACUGUGAAAUCUCCGGGCUUAACUCGGAAAGGUCAGCCGAUACUGCGGGGCUAGAGUGCAGAAGGGGCAACUGGAAUUCUCGGUGUAGCGGUGAAAUGCGUAGAUAUCGAGAGGAACACCUGCGGCGAAGGCGGGUUGCUGGGCUGACACUGACGCUGAUGCGCGAAAGCUAGGGGAGCGAACGGGAUUAGAUACCCCGGUAGUCCUAGCCUUAAACGAUGAAUGCUUGGUGUCUGGGGUUUUAUAG